rnacentral:ncRNA from 16 species
GUCUGGGUGGUGUAGUUCGUUAUCACGUUAGUCUCACACACUAAAGGUCCCCAGUUCGAACCUGGGCUCAGACA